AACAGGCAAUGCAGAAAAGUGGGAAGAGGAACUUUCUUAUUGACGGUUUCCCACGCAAUGAAGAAAAUCGUGUGGCUGCUGAGAAAAUGUUGAAUAUUCAGCCAACUAUGGUAUUAGUAUUUGAUUGUUCUGAAGAGGAGACAAUCAGGCGUGUUCUGCACAUAAAUCAGGUCUGGUAUUUCCCAGCAUUUGUCAAGUUUUUGUUAGUUUUCCAUGUAUUAGGCAUCAUGUGUUUCUGCUUGUGUACAUAGGGAAGGGUUGAUGAUAACAUGGAAACGAUAAAGAAACGAUAAAUCUAGUUCGGCCUAUCUGGUUAGACUGAUUUUCUUUGUUAAAAAAGUAUUCAAUACAUUCCUCUGAACUUAAUAUAUGUUCCUUUUCCUAAAAAAUUAAUUGAGGUGGUUAUUUUAUCCUGCUAUUAGAAAAAAGAUAGAGACAUAGAAAGAAAAGAGGAAAUAUGUAAUCCCUUGAGACUUGAGAGUAAGGAAGGCAAACUCUGAAGGGGCAUAAAUAAGGGGGAAGGGGUUAUUAAGUGGCAUUCAUGCAGAGGAGGUGUUAAAUGAUCAGGUAACCAGCAUAAUGAACCAGCUCAACAACAGCAGCAACAGAAUAGUCCUCCAAGAACGGGUCAUCCUCGAGCUACAUCAUAGGCAUCUUGUUUCAUUGGUGGGGUACUGCAUUUGUGGCAGAAGUUGAGAGCUAAUAGUGGGCAAGGAGAGCGUGAAUUUGAGGCAGAAGUUGAGUUAUACAUGAAAAAUGAUGUCGGAAGAUACUUAAAUUGGUGCUUGCUUAUGCUCACUGGCAAAGAUGUGCUGUUUUAUACUGAAUAAGCUCUUCAUGAGCAAGUGAGCCAAAUUGGAGUUACAGGUGCUCGAUCAGAUGUUAAUGCGCGAGUACAAGAACUGCUUAAUGACAUAAAAGAGGCUACUAGUAAGCCUGUGGCGGUUGGCUUUGGCAUCUCAAAGCCCGAGCAUGUAAAGCAGGUGGCUGGAUGGGGGGCUGAUGGCGUGAUUGUUGGCAGUGCCAUUGUGAAGGUGUUGGGCGAAGCCAAUUCACCUGAAGAAGGGUUGAAAGAUCUAGAGAAGUUUAUCAAGUCUUUAAAGUCCACUCUCAUUUGAGGUUACUUGUAUUACGUGUUGUAGUCCCCUCUCAGUGAGAGGGCUGAUGUUUGUAGUUAGUCUGGCCAUUU